AAUGAUCGGUGAGAAAAUUAAAUUUAGAAAAUGGAUCAACUUGUGUAUUUUGCUCCUCAUUUACUCAUAUUUGUUGUUCUAUUCUUCCAUCUACAAAAUUUUUUACAUCUACAAAACAUAUGGUUUAAAACUUUAACAACGCAAGUAUUUCAACGUGUAUUCUUAGUCUGUAAUCUUAGAAAGAGAUAAUCAAAAUGUAGUAAGUUAUAAGUUAUAACUAAUAUAAAAAUAUAAACAAAAAAAAUUCUUUUUGGCAAAGCAUUAAGAUAUAUAGUUGGAACUAUUAUCAAUUUUUUUUUACAUUAAUUAUUUACUACGUAUUUUCUCGCCGAUUGAAUACUUAAUACUAUUAUAAUAUCAGUUUAUAUAUCUUGAUUAUUUUGAAAACGUUCUAAAAAUUGGACAUGAUCGAAUCGAUUUUUUCAAAUUUAGAU
rnacentral:lncRNA from 1 species